UACGUAGGUGGCAAGCGUUGUCCGGAAUUAUUGGGCGUAAAGCGCGCGCAGGUGGUUCCUUAAGUCUGAUGUGAAAGCCCACGGCUCAACCGUGGAAGGUCAUUGGAAACUGGGGAACUUGAGUGCAGAAGAGGAAAGUGGAAUUCCAAGUGUAGCGGUGAAAUGCGUAGAUAUUUGGAGGAACACCAGUGGCGAAGGCGACUUUCUGGUCUGUAACUGACACUGAGGCGCGAAAGCGUGGGGAGCAAACAGG
rnacentral:rRNA from 1 species